UACGAAGGGUGCAAACGUUGCUCGGAAUUAUUGGGCCUAAAGCAUCCGUAGCCGGUUCUGCAAGUCCCCCGUUAAAUCCAGCUGCUCAACAGAUGGGCCGCGGAGGAUACUACAGAGCUAGGAGGCAGGAGAGGCAAGCGGUACUCAGUGGGUAGGGGUAAAAUCCGUUGAUCCAUUGAAGACCACCAGUGGCGAAGGCGGCUUGCCAGAAUGCGCUCGACGGUGAGGGAUGAAAGCUGGGGGAGCAAACCGGG
rnacentral:rRNA from 1 species